rnacentral:rRNA from 1 species
GCAGUACUGGUCCGGCUGGACCUUUCCUUCUGGGGAACCUCAUGGCCUUCACUGGCUGUGGGGGGAACCAGGACUUUUACUGUGAAAAAAUUAGAGUGUUCAAAGCAGGCCUUUGCUCGAAUACAUUAGCAUGGAAUAAUAGAAUAGGACGUGCGGUUCUAUUUUGUUGGUUUCUAGGACCGCCGUAAUGAUUAAUAGGGAUAGUCGGGGGCGUCAGUAUUCAGCUGUCAGAGGUGAAAUUCUUGGAUUUGCUGAAGACUAACUACUGCGAAAGCAUUCGCCAAGGAUGUUUUCAUUAAUCAGGGAACGAAAGUUAGGGGAUCGAAGACGAUCAGAUACCGUCGUAGUCUUAACCAUAAACUAUGCCGACUAGGGAUCGGGCGGUGUUUCUAUGAUGACCCGCUCGGCACCUUACGAGAAAUCAAAGUUUUUGGGUUCUGGGCGGAGUAUGGUCGCAAGGCUGAAACUUAAAGAAAUUGACGGAAGGGCACCACAAGGCGUGGAGCCUGCGGCUUAAUUUGACUCAAACACGGGGAAACUCACCCAGGUCCAGACAAAAUAAGGAUUGACAGAUUGAAAAGCUCCUUUCUUGAUCCUUUUGGGAUGGGUGGUGCCUGGCCCGUCCCUCGUUGGGGGAGUGAUUUUGUCUGCCUUAAUUGCGAUAACGAACGAGACCUUCCGCCCCUUAAAAUAGCCCCGGGCCCGCCUUUGGCGGGGCCCCCCUGGGCUUCUUUAGGGGGGACUAUCCGGCCUCAAGCCG